GACGUAGGAGGCGAGCGUUGUCCGGAGUUACUGGGCGUAAAGCGUGCGCAGGCGGUUUUGUAAGUCUGACGUGAAAUCCCCGGGCUUAACCUGGGAAUUGCGUUGGAGACUGCAAGGCUGGAGUCUGGCAGAGGGGGGUAGAAUUCCACGUGUAGCAGUGAAAUGCGUAGAGAUGUGGAGGAACACCGAUGGCGAAGGCAGCCCCCUGGGUCAAGACUGACGCUCAUGCACGAAAGCGUGGGGAGCAAACAGG
rnacentral:rRNA from 1 species